rnacentral:rRNA from 1 species
UACGUAGGGGGCAAGCGUUAUCCGGAUUUACUGGGUGUAAAGGGAGCGUAGGCGGAUCGGUAAGUCUGAUGUGAAAGCCCGGGGCUCAACCCCGGGACUGCAUUGGAAACUACCGAACUAGAGUGUGGGAGAGGUAAGUGGAAUUCCUAGUGUAGCGGUGAAAUGCGUAGAUAUUAGGAGGAACACCAGUGGCGAAGGCGGCUUACUGGACCAUAACUGACGAUGAGGCUCGAAAGCGUGGGGAGCAAACAGG